rnacentral:tRNA from 1 species
AGAUUUUAAGUUAAAAAAACUAUUAACCUUCAAAGUUGAAAAUAAACAUAUAUUUAAAUCUUA